GUGGAGAGAGCUGUCAAGCAAAGGAAGAUCUUCAUGCUGCAUGGCCCGUACCCCGUGAUCCGGAGCCUGCUGCGGAGCCGGGGCUGGGUGGAGAAGAAGGCUCCCAAGGCUGCACGCAGACGGGAACUGGUGCCCGGCAGCCCGGAGGGAGACAACAGUGAUGACGCGGAGGAGGGCGAAGAUGGCGAGGAAGAGGAGGGGCAGGAUGAUGACCCUGAUGGCACCUACGACCUCAUG